GAUCCUGGCUCAGGACGAACGCUGGCGGCGUGCCUAACACAUGCAAGUCGAACGGAGAAUUUUAUUUCGGUAGAAUUCUUAGUGGCGAACGGGUGAGUAACGCGUAGGCAACCUACCCUUUAGACGGGGACAACAUUCCGAAAGGAGUGCUAAUACCGGAUGUGAUCAUCGUGCCGCAGUGGCAGGAUGAAGAAAGAUGGCCUCUACUAGUAAGCUAUCGCUAAAGGAUGGGCCUGCGUCUGAUUAG
rnacentral:rRNA from 1 species